CUCUGCGCAAGGGAUCUUUUGGUUCGCUAGACGAAGAAGGGCGCAGCGGAAUGCGAAAUGUGCAGGAGCAGCAGCGAAGAUAGCACAUGCCUGAAAUCACGAGAGUGAGACUACCCCUUUGAAUUAAGCAUAUGAGUAAAGGGAGGAAAAGAAACUAACAAGGAUUCCUGUAGUAGCGGCGAGCGAAGAAGGAACAGCCCCGAGUGUAAUCAGCUAAUUAAUAUAGUGUGAGAUGUCAUUAAUCUAUAGAACGAUGUUGAAACUUCGGCCUGAGAGGGUGAUAGCCCCGUAAAAUAGAUGUAACAC
rnacentral:rRNA from 1 species